rnacentral:tRNA from 1 species
GGGGCCAUAGCUCAGCGGUAGAGCACAACACGCCAAGAUAUAGUGCUCUUGGCGUGUGAAUCUUGAUAAAGAUUCACACAGCAACGUUCUAAAAGGACUUAAAAUCCCAAAUUCUUCGGUUCGAAUCCGAAUGGCCCCG